UUAACGGGUGAGGAACACGUGAGAAACUUGCCUUUCAUUCUGGGAUAACACCGGGAAACCGGUGCUAAUACCGGAUACUCCGUCUUGGCGGCAUCGCCGAGCCGGGAAAAAAUUUUGAUGAAAGAUGGUCUCGCGGCCUAUCAGCUAGUUGGUGAGGUAAUGGCUCACCAAGGCGACGACGGGUAGCCGGCCUGAGAGGGCGACCGGCCACACUGGGACUGAGACACGGCCCAGACUCCUACGGGAGGCAGCAGUAGGGAAUAUUGGGCAAUGGGCGCAAGCCUGACCCAGCGACGCCGCGUGAGGGAUGAAGGUCUUCGGAUUGUAAACCUCUUUCAGUAGGGAAGAAGCGAAAGUGACGGUACCUAAAGAAGAAGCACCGGCUAACUAUGUGCCAGCAGCCGCGGUAAUACAUAGGGUGCAAGCGUUGUCCGGAAUUAUUGGGCGUAAAGAGCUCGUAGGUCGUUUGUCACGUCGAUUGUGAAAAUCUGAGGCUCAACCUCAGACCUGCAGUCGAUACGGGCAAACUAGAGUGUGGUAGGGGAGACUGGAAUUCCUGGUGUAGCGGUGGAAUGCGCAGAUAUCAGGAGGUACACCAAUGGCGAAGGCAGGUCUCUGGGCCAUAACUGACCCUGAGGAGCGAAAGUGCGGGGAGCGAACAGGAUUAGAUACCCUGGUAGUCCGCACCGUAAACGGUGGGCACUAGUUGUGGGAACCUUCCACGGUUUCCGCGACGCAGCAAACGCAUUAAGUGCCCCGCCUGGGGAGUACGAUCGCAAGAUUAAAACUCAAAGGAAUUGACGGGGCCCCGCACAAGCAGCGGAGCAUGCGGCUUAAUUCGACGCAACGCGAAGAACCUUACCAAGGCUUGACAUAUAGCGAAAAGUGGCAGAGAAGUCAUGUCCGCAAGGGCGCUAUACAGGUGGUGCAUGGUUGUCGUCAGCUCGUGUCGUGAGAUGUUGGGUUAAGUCCCGCAACGAGCGCAACCCUCGUUCUGUGUUACCAGCAUUUAGUUGGGGACUCACAGGAGACUGCCGGGGUCAACUCGGAGGAAGGUGGGGAUGACGUCAAAUCAUCAUGCCCCUUAUGUCUUGGGCUGCACGCAUGCUACAAUGGCCGGUACA
rnacentral:rRNA from 1 species